UACGUAGGGUGCGAGCGUUAAUCGGAAUUACUGGGCGUAAAGCGUGCGCAGGCGGUUGUGUAAGACAGAUGUGAAAUCCCCGGGCUCAACAUGGGAACUGCGUUUGUGACUGCACGGCUAGAGUACGGUAGAGGGGGGUGGAAUUCCUGGUGUAGCAGUGAAAUGCGUAGAUAUAAGGAGGAACAUCGAUGGCGAAGGCAGCCCCCUGGACCUGUACUGACGCUCAUGCACGAAAGCGUGGGGAGCAAACAGG
rnacentral:rRNA from 1 species